UUGACCUCAAAUCGGGUGGGACUACCCGCUGAACUUAAGCAUAUCAAUAAGCGGAGGAAAAGAAACUAACAGGGAUUCCCCUAGUAACGGCGAGUGAAGAGGGAAAAGCUCAAAUUUUGAAUCUGGUGUCUUUGGCGCCCGAGUUGUAAUCUAGAGAAGUGUUUUCCGCGUUGGACCGUUCACAAGUUUUCUGGAAUGAGGCUUCAUAGAGGGUGAGAAUCCCGUAUCUGGAACGGACUACCAAUGCUCUGUGAUACACUCUCAACGAGUCGAGUUGUUUGGGAAUGCAGCUCAAAAUGGGUGGUAAAUUCCAUCUAAAGCUAAAUAUUGGCGAGAGACCGAUAGCGAACAAGUACCGUGAGGGAAAGAUGAAAAGCACUUUGGAAAGAGAGUGAAACAGUACGUGAAAUUGUUGAAAGGGAAGCGUUUGAAGUCAGUCAUAUCUGUCGGGAUUCAGCUUGGCUUUUGCCUUGUGUACUUUCCGUCCGAUGGGUCAGCAUCAAUUCAGACCGAGGGAAAAAGACGUUUGGAAUGUGGCUGUCUUCGGGCAGUGUUAUAGCCUCGCGUUGUAUGUCUCGGUUGGGAUUGAGGAACGCAGCGCGCCACUUAAUUGGCCGGGGGUUAAGUCCUCUCGUAUCGCGCUUAGGAUGCUGG
rnacentral:rRNA from 1 species